rnacentral:rRNA from 1 species
GUGGGGAAUAUUGGACAAUGGGCGCAAGCCUGAUCCAGCCAUGCCGCGUGAGUGAUGAAGGCCCUAGGGUUGUAAAGCUCUUUCACCGAUGAAGAUAAUGACGGUAGUCGGAGAAGAAGCCCCGGCUAACUUCGUGCCAGCAGCCGCGGUAAUACGAAGGGGGCUAGCGUUGCUCGGAAUCACUGGGCGUAAAGGGCGCGUAGGCGGACUUUUAAGUCGGAGGUGAAAGCCCAGGGCUCAACCCUGGAAUAGCCUUCGAUACUGGGAGUCUUGAGUUCGGAAGAGGUUGGUGGAACUGCGAGUGUAGAGGUGAAAUUCGUAGAUAUUCGCAAGAACACCGGUGGCGAAGGCGGCCAACUGGUCCGAAACUGACGCUGAGGCGCGAAAGCGUGGGGAGCAAACAGGAUUAGAUACCCUUGUAGUCC